rnacentral:rRNA from 1 species
UUGGGUGGGGAUGGGGCCUGGGGGAAACUCAGGCUAAUACCGCAUACGCCCUACGGGGGAAAGCAGGGGCUCUUCGGACCUUGCGCUAUCGGAUGAGCCUAUGUCGGAUUAGCUAGUUGGUGAGGUAAUGGCUCACCAAGGCGACGAUCCGUAGCUGGUCUGAGAGGAUGAUCAGCCACAUCGGGACUGAGACACGGCCCGAACUCCUACGGGAGGCAGCAGUGGGGAAUAUUGGACAAUGGGCGAAAGCCUGAUCCAGCCAUGCCGCGUGUGUGAAGAAGGCUUUCGGGUUGUAAAGCACUUUCAGUGAGGAAGAACGCCUUGGGGCUAAUACCCCCGAGGGAAGACAUCACUCACAGAAGAAGCACCGGCUAACUCCGUGCCAGCAGCCGCGGUAAUACGGAGGGUGCAAGCGUUAAUCGGAAUUACUGGGCGUAAAGCGCGCGUACGCGGCGUGAUAAGCCGGUUGUGAAAGCCCCGGGCUCAACCUGGGAACGGCAUCCGGAACUGUCAGGCUAGAGUGCAGGAGAGGAAGGUAGAAUUCCCGGUGUAGCGGUGAAAUGCGUAGAGAUCGGGAGGAAUACCAGUGGCGAAAGGCGCCUUC